rnacentral:rRNA from 1 species
UACGUAGGUGGCGAGCGUUAUCCGGAAUUAUUGGGCGUAAAGAGCGCGCAGGUGGUUGAUUAAGUCUGAUGUGAAAGCCCACGGCUUAACCGUGGAGGGUCAUUGGAAACUGGUCGACUUGAGUGCAGAAGAGGGAAGUGGAAUUCCAUGUGUAGCGGUGAAAUGCGUAGAGAUAUGGAGGAACACCAGUGGCGAAGGCGGCUUCCUGGUCUGUAACUGACACUGAGGCGCGGAAAGCCGUGGGGAGCAAACAGG